AGUGGGAUAGCUGGGUCAAAUGGUGGUUCCAUUUUCAAUUUUCCAAGAAAUCUCCAUACUGUUUCCAUAUUGGCUGCACCAAUUUGCAGUCCCACCAGCAAU
rnacentral:pre_miRNA from 1 species